rnacentral:snoRNA from 1 species
AACUCAUGGUGAGGGCACUGUCUCAAUAAAUAUUUGUAUCUCUCUCAUGCAUCAUAUAAGGUCUCUAAAUCGAUCUGAACAAAGGAAGAGAUAUCACUCCUCAACUU